CACCAUAAGUAAAAUUAAAAUGAGAACACUAUAUUCUGACAGAAUCACAAAAUGUUUCAUAAUACAAAUUUCAAGUUGUAUUCGUUGCCCUUUAUUCUUCUCAAUAAUUCAGAAGUCAACAACAGUGGACCUCUUAUCACCUCCUACUCACUCAUGCUCGCGCUUACCUGUCUAGUUUGGCAAAAUCAGAUUUAAAGAUCCUUAGACUUGUGAACAUUUACCAUAAGAUCAUCGUCCCCCUUUGCAUUCACAACAAUGAGCAAGUCCCUGUGUGGCAUAACUGCAUUGCAUAUAUUGAAUCAAAAAAAUAUCCUUAGAAUCCUAAAGCAAGAGAUCACCAGCAAAAAUGCAAACAUACCAAGAUUCAAUAAGUGUACUACUUCUUGGUACUAUCCACUAAAGAAUCAAGUUUUACAAGAUGUCCAGAGGUUUACAAGAUACCUAUUUACUAACUGUUCACAUACUAAUGAAAUGUGAUGCCUCGACUUGAAGGCCAACCAAGGUAUAUAGUUGUCAGCUUCGUUUGUUGUGGUCUUCGACAAAUACAUUGGGACCUGUUACAUGACGUAGCCAAGGUAGGAAUUAUUGUCGUAAGAAUGUAUGAACAAAAGACAGCAGAAAAAUGCUAUGUGACAAGAGAAGUACACAAGUAGUAGUGUAGCUAAUUUAUGCAUUUGAACGAUUCAACAGAAAAGAAAUUAUUCAACAACUUUCAAGCAUUAUCAUGCUAUUUGUUUAAAUUAGGUCCAAAGUAGUUAAGAGGUAUAAAUAGAAUAUAAAAUUUCAGUAGCGUUUAAUUUUCUACUCCUCAUGUUUCUGCUGCUACCUGAAUCAACAUGUCAUAAGCUUAGACUUGCUGCUACUACUGUUUCAGCACAUAUCAAUGCAUAGUAUCGACCCACCAAUGGAGAUGAAAUCAAUUACUAUCAGGGUUCACACUAUAUCUUGUGAAAGAAAGACAUAAGUGGAUGACCUUGAACAAUAUUUUAUCAUGCUUUCAACCUAGACCACAUCUUUAUGAUGCUGUUAUUAUUCCUAUGAUAUCUGUUGAUGGUACUGAUAUAUUGUCUUUUUUCGUCUUCUUGAGCCGAGGAUCUUUCGCAAACAGCCUCUCUACUGCCUCGGGGUUGGGGGUAAGGUUUGCGUGCACACUACCCUCCCAGACCCACUAGUGGAAUUAUACUGGGUUGUUGUUGUUGUUGCUUUCAACCUAGAUCACAAUGAACUGGUGUGAACUUCAUAUGUUAACAUAAUUAAUGAUAUUUAAGUAGAAUGUCUUUAGGGGAAGUUAAAAUUCUUCUUCAAUAUUCUCUCAAAAUAGAUCAUGUUAAUAUAGGUUCUGCAGAAAGCUAGGGGAAAAGAAGUUGGUAUAGUAACACAUAUGAGAAAAAAGGCAAGUAGAGGUAUUUUAAUGUGAACUUAACUAAGUGGGAAUGUGUUGCAGAUUAACUCUUCAUUGAAUAGAAUUAUAUUGAUCAAGAAGCGUAAUAUAUUUCAAAGGAAACAAAGAAGCUCAUAAUUAAAGUCAGCAAACACAGAGUACAUAAAAAAGAAAAUGAAGAGGAAUGGACUGGUCAGAUUCUGAAGAAAAAAGGAAUCUAGAAAAUCAGGUAGUAGUAACUUUGCAGCUUAGAAGUUAGAAGGAAUUAUAGUACCAAAGAUAAUUAAACAAUAAAUUCAUAGAUUUAUUCCUUGCAAAAUCAAAAACAAUUGAAGCAAAUCACAGGAAAAACGCAGCUUCAUUAAAUUGAAGAAAGAAAUAAGAGAAAACUGAAGACAUAAAGUAAAGACAACGGAACACCCACGAAAACUAUAAAUAGAAAUAGAAAUACAAAGAAUAUAACUGAAAUUCCAUACCCUAAUUGACAUACCGCCCUAAACUAAUGUAAGCCGUCCAAAAGAUAAACAAUUACAUCGAAAAAACUCCCAUGUUUUGGAUAGCGCUUGGUACUGGUGGUAUAGGACAAUCAACAAAAUCACACACACACACACACACAGAUCGAAGGAGAAGAAGCACAUGAUCGAAGAGAAGCAAAGAAUGGGAGAAUUGGAGAUUGGAAUGGAUCAUGGAUGGGGAUAACUCGGAUUUACAACUUGUUUGGAUGGUUGUUAUACACUGUACUGUAUUG
rnacentral:lncRNA from 1 species